rfam:Bombyx mori DNA, contig: Bm_scaf1_contig463, strain: p50T/Dazao, build 2, whole genome shotgun sequence.
UUUACUCUAAUUUGUAUGAAGUUGAAACAGCUUCCUUGGUUUGCAGCUAGAGGCGUUGUUCCAAUUCCAUACAAAUUUGAGUUA